rnacentral:rRNA from 1 species
UACGUAGGUGGCAAGCGUUGUCCGGAUUUACUGGGCGUAAAGAGCGCGCAGGCGGUCGUUCAAGUCGCGUGUGAAAGCCCCCGGCUCAACUGGGGAGGGUCACGCGAUACUGAUCGACUCGAAGGCAGGAGAGGGUAGUGGAAUUCCCGGUGUAGUGGUGAAAUGCGUAGAUAUCGGGAGGAACACCAGUGGCGAAGGCGACUACCUGGCCUGUUCUUGACGCUGAGGCGCGAAAGCUAGGGAGCAACG